GUUGUAUGGUUAAGUGACUAAGCGUACACGGUGGAUGCCUUGGCAGUCAGAGGCGAUGAAAGACGUAGUAACUUGCGAUAAGCCCAGAUUAGGUAGUAACAACCAUUUGAGUCUGGGAUUUCUGAAUGGGGAAACCCACGUGCAUAAGCACGUAUCCUUACCUGAAUACAUAGGGUAAGGAGGCGAACCGGGGGAACUGAAACAUCUAAGUACCCCGAGGAAAAGAAAUCAACCGAGAUUCCGAAAGUAGCGGCGAGCGAAAUUGGACUAGCCCUUAAGCUUUACACGCGUUAGACGAACGGUCUGGAAAGUCCGACGAUACAGGGUGAUAGUCCCGUAGUUGACGACGUGUGUUCAGUGAAAUCGAGUAGGGCGGGACACGUGAUAUCCUGUCUGAAUAUGGGGGGACCAUCCUCCAAGGCUAAAUACUACUGACUGACCGAUAGUGAACCAGUACCGUGAGGGAAAGGCGAAAAGAACCCCUGUGAGGGGAGUGAAAUAGAACCUGAAACCGUGUACGUACAAGCAGUAGGAGCAGGCUUGUCCUGUGACUGCGUACCUUUUGUAUAAUGGGUCAGCGACUUAUAUUCAGUGGCAAGGUUAACCAUCUAGGGGAGCCGUAGGGAAACCGAGUCUUAACUGGGCGUUCAGUCUCUGGAUAUAGACCCGAAACCAGGUGAUCUAGCCAUGGGCAGGUUGAAGGUUGAGUAACAUCAACUGGAGGACCGAACCGACUAAUGUUGAAAAAUUAGCGGAUGACUUGUGGCUAGGGGUGAAAGGCCAAUCAAACCUGGAGAUAGCUGGUUCUCCCCGAAAGCUAUUUAGGUAGCGCCUCGGACGAAUACUACUGGGGGUAGAGCACUGUUAAGGCUAGGGGGUCAUCCCGACUUACCAACCCUUUGCAAACUCCGAAUACCAGUAAGUACUAUCCGGGAGACACACGGCGGGUGCUAACGUCCGUCGUGGAGAGGGAAACAACCCAGACCGCCAGCUAAGGUCCCAAAUUACUACUAAGUGGGAAACGAUGUGGGAAGGCUCAGACAGCCAGGAUGUUGGCUUAGAAGCAGCCAUCAUUUAAAGAAAGCGUAAUAGCUCACUGGUCGAGUCGGCCUGCGCGGAAGAUGUAACGGGGCUAAGUAGUAAACCGAAGCUGCGGCAAUAUACUUUUGUAUAUUGGGUAGGGGAGCGUUCUGUAAGCGGUUGAAGGUGUGUGGUAACGCAUGCUGGACGUAUCAGAAGUGCGAAUGCUGACAUGAGUAACGAUAAAGGGGGUGAAAAACCUCCUCGCCGGAAGACCAAGGGUUCCUGUCCAACGUUAAUCGGGGCAGGGUAAGUCGACCCCUAAGGCGAGGCCGAAAGGCGUAGUCGAUGGGAAACGGGUUAAUAUUCCCGUACUUCUUACAAUUGCGAUGGGGGGACGGAGAAGGCUAGGUGGGCCUGGCGACGGUUGUCCAGGUUCAAGUGCGUAGGCUUAAGAGUUAGGUAAAUCCGGCUCUUUUUAAG
rnacentral:rRNA from 1 species